UUCUUUUUUUUCCAGGAUCCCAUUGUACUUAACUGAAUUUUAUAACGCUGAUCGAUAUCUUGGUAAAAUAUUCAUUUUUAAACUAGCGGGCAGUGAAAUCUUUGCUUUGUGUGCUAAAGUCAACAGUCGCUCAGUUUGAGCUCAAAUAAAUGCAGGGAUGCCUCGGCUGGGAGCAGUCCGCCGCCUCCCUCCGAGCGCAGGACGCUCCGACGCCCGCCUGCCCGCAGGCCACCGCAGGAACCACACCGGUGCAGAGCAGUGACACUGCGCCAAGAAGACAGGCCCCGAGGCUCCAGGGCAGAUCCCGUGAAGGACAUACAGAGAAUGAAACACAACCUGCCUAAAGCAAAACGCAACAACCUCAGCGUGGAGCCUGUCACCUCCCCUUCCCUUAUGAAGGAUCGAUACUUCUGGCAAAGGAGUCAACACUGAAGAUAUACACGCUGUCCAACUCUUUCCUUGACACAACAAUUUAUUUAAUAAAUGCAUCUCCUGAAGAAGAAGGCACCAGGCACUGUGUCUUUUAUCUGCAGGAUAUGCAAAGCGCA